UAAUACGUAGGUGGCAAGCGUUGUCCGGAUUUAUUGGGCGUAAAGCGCCCGCAGGCGGCUUGAUAAGUUUCAGGUGAAAUCUCCCGGCUCAACCGGGAGGGUGCCUGGAAAACUAUCAGGCUUGAGUCAUGGAGAGGGAUGUGGAAUUCCCGGUGUAGUGGUGAAAUGCGUAGAUAUCGGGAGGAACACCAGUGGCGAAGGCGGCAUCCUGGCCAUGUACUGACGCUCAGGGGCGAAAGCGUGGGGAGCAAACCGGAUUAGAUACCCGGGUAGUCCACGCCGUAAACGAUGAGUACUAGGUGUAGGGGGUAUCGACCCCCUCUGUGCCGAAGCUAACGCGAUAAGUACUCCGCCUGGGGACUACGGCCGCAAGGCUA
rnacentral:rRNA from 1 species